rnacentral:rRNA from 1 species
AUUGAACGCUGGCGGCAGGCCUAACACAUGCAAGUCGAACGAGUGGCGGACGGGUGAGUAAUGUCUGGGAAACUGCCAGAUGGAGGGGGAUAACUACUGGAAACGGUAGCUAAUACCGCAUACCAUCGGAUGUGCCCAGAUGGGAUUAGCUAGUAGGUGGGGUAACGGCUCACCUAGGCGACGAUCCCUAGCUGGUCUGAGAGGAUGACCAGCCACACUGGAACUGAGACACGGUCCAGACUCCUACGGGAUGCAGCAGUGGGGAAUAGUGCGCAAUGGGCGCAAGCCUGAUGCAGCCAUGCCGCGUGUAUGAAGAAGGCCUUCGGGUUGUAAAGUACUUUCAGCGAUGAUGCGUUACUCGCAGAAGAAGCACCGGCUAACUCCGUGCCAGCAGCCGCGGUAAUAC